UUAAGAUUCUCAGGACCCUGAUGGCAGAGUAUUUCCCUUCUCAGUGUGGGGUGCCACGUGACUGCAUGCUCGCAAAGCUGGCCAUGCCCACCACCCCAUGCCAGUCACGGUGUUCAGAAAAAGUCGAUUUAAAUUAAGAAAUGUGUGCAGAAGGACUAUAAAUUGGUAGCAUCUCUCUAGGACAGCUGGAGCACGGGCAGAGAGCUGAGUUGGUGCUAGAGAGUGACAAUAAAUUCAGGGUUGGGAUUGCUUGGGGAGCUGGGUCCCACUCCUGUCUACAUCAUUUACUAGCUAAACUGUUAACAUUCCUCAAUGUCAGUGUCCUCACUUGGACUAUGGGGACAGUAACGCAUGGCUUCUUAAGAUGAUUAAAACUAGGUAACGUAUGUAAAUAUUUAGCCCACGGUUGGUUACUGUGUUUGGUAUACACAGUCAUGCCUCCAACUAUAAGGGACGUAACAUGAUAGCUGUACCAGAUCCACUUCUGAUGCUUGUGUGCAUUUUCUUCUGAGUAUUUCCACAGUGAAAUGCCAAGCCACAAAAGCUGCUAUCGACCCAAGACACAGAGGCCAGAACGGGCCUUGGAUUCAUUAUCAGGAUGAGGUGGACAGGUGUCAUGUGACUCACUUCCAAAUGGACCUGAGCCACUUGGGGAAGACUACACUAAGAGUCUGCAGCCAGGAGACAGGAUGCAAAGAGCACUUAGCAUUUCGGAAACCGUUUGCUGUUUUCUAUGCAGAGGCUCCCUUCCUAGUCCCAACCUAGGGUGUAGAGACAAACAUCGUUUUAAAAAGAAUUUGGAAUCAAUUGAAAAAUUUGGAAUCGAAAAAGAAGACAUAGAAGACUAACUAAUGGAGGUGCCCUGGGUUUGGCUCCCCACCACCCAGUGAAGUAUGUGUGGGACACAACCCAAAUCAAAGCCAACAAGUCACUGCCCAAACAUCCAGGGCCGAGGGAAAAAGAGCAACAUAUUCUCACCACACGCCACUUCAGAACCAGGUCUAGUGAGGAAGCGUCAACGAGCCCCUCAGAGAGUGAGACGGGAGCACUCUGCAACUGGGGACUUGAUCAGGUGCUACCUGACUUGUGUCUCAGAAAAAGUGGCGGUGGCAGCAGAGAAAAAGGCUGCAUUUGAGAAACAACUCCACUCCACUCUGACAGCCAGUUGAAUGAUGUCCAAGAUGGCUCCUUCACAUAGCUGCCGGCUGGGAGCUCAGCUGGAGCUGUCGACCAGGCGCCUUGGUUCUCUUUCAUGUGGCCGCUCCAUGCAGUUUAGGCUUCACAGGGCAUGGCGACUGGAUUAAAAAAGGGAGUGUACCAAGAGUGAGAAAGAGGCUGCGAGACUCUUGAAGCUUAGCUUCAGAAGUUACACAGCAUCACGUUUGCCACAUUCCAUUGGUCAAAGCAAGGGCAGUCCCAAUUAAGGGGGGACGAAUAGACUCCACCAGUCCACAGGAAGAAUGGCAGAGAAUUUGUAGCCAUCUUUAACCACCACACUAAAUUUGUGACUUAAAGUGACCCUAAGGCUUUUUUUUUUUUUUCACCUGAGAGUGACUAGAAAAAUUCUGAAUUUUUAUGAGGAAGCAAAGAACUUCCCAUUGAAAAACUUUAAUAGACCA